AGCAGCCGCGGUAACUCCAGCUCCAAUAGCGUAUAUUAAAGUUGUUGCAGUUAAAAAAGCUCGUAGUUGAAUUUCGAGAUCAAUAUGUUGGUCGUGCCUCGGUACGUACUUGCAUCAUUGAUUUCUCCCUUCUGAUGAACCAUGAUGCCAUUAAUUUGGUGUCUUGGGGAAUCAGGACUGUUACUUUGAAAAAAUUAGAGUGUUUAAAGCAGGCUCACGCUUGAAUACAUUAGCAUGGAAUAAUGAAAUAGGACGUUUGAUUCUAUUUUGUUGGUUUCUAGGAUCGACGUAAUGAUUAAUAGGGAUAGUUGGGGGCAUUAGUAUUCAAUUGUCAGAGGUGAAAUUCUUGGAUUUAUUGAAGACUAACUACUGCGAAAGCAUUUGCCAAGGAUGUUUUCAUUAAUCAAGAACGAAAGUUAAGGGGAUCGAAGACGAUCAGAUACCGUCGUA
rnacentral:rRNA from 1 species